rnacentral:rRNA from 1 species
UACGGGGGGGGCAAGCGUUGUUCGGAAUUACUGGGCGUAAAGGGCUCGUAGGUGGCCAACUAAGUCAGACGUGAAAUCCCUCGGCUUAACCGGGGAACUGCGUCUGAUACUGGAUGGCUUGAGUGUGGGAGAGGGAUGCGGAAUUCCAGGUGUAGCGGUGAAAUGCGUAGAGAUCGGGAAGAACACCAGUGGCGAAGGCGGCCGGCUGGGGGCGCCCUGACGCUGAGGCGCGAGAGCGUGGGGAGCAAACCGG